UGGUUCUUCCCUUCCCGUCACCUUAUUUCGAUUCCAUACGCGCCAAACAUUGUAGGCUGUGACAUACUUAACGCAAACACUUCGAGCCAGCACUGUUUAUGGCCUUUGAAAACGGCCAGCAAGGGUUUGUUUUGUUAUUUAUUAUUGAAUUUAGCCGUCUAAAAGGAAAGAAGGGACAAUCCCUCUCUCUGUCACCAAGGCAGCAGGUAGUAAACUGAAAGCACAGCAAGUGUGUUGUUGAAACGAGCAGUGUGGUGGGUGAGUCGCGCUCCGUUUAAUCAUGAUGUAUUAGUUUGUUAUGCGAUAUGUAUAUGAUCAAAGCUUUCUAGCUAGUCUUGAAAACAAUAACGGCGUUGGUUAGAAUCUUAUUUAUGACUGUCCACUUUGAUUUAAAGCGGUCGGAGGAGCAGCCCCAGGGGCGACAGUGUGUGUGUUGCUGAUGGUGACUGCAGUAUCAGCAGUGUGAUGAAGACUGACUCCUUCUGCAUGCACCAGUCAUUCCCCUCCGCAUGGACGCAUCAGGUGAUUCUCAUGUCGGUUCUUCAGUGGCGAUGAGGAAUCUUCAGAUCUCUGAUCUGCAUUGCUUCCACCCCGUGUCUCCGUCAUCAACUCGGUCUCCAGUGUUGGAGAGCUCUCUGCUCAGACAGCUCAUGUGUACUGCUCCAGAGAAGAGAGGCACAGCUCUCACCAUCAACCCUAAUAAAGCUGUCCUGUCCAUUAACUGCACCACAUUACAGGGAUCGGACGAUUGUUCUCACCAAAGCCCUUUUACCAAUUAAACAAGGCCAUAUUACACCAUGUUUUUGGUAGUAGGGAUUCUUUGCCUGGACUUUUAUCUGCUCCCCUAUUCUUUGAACUAUUGAGUUAUUACAAAAGAUUUCAAUUGUUUAUUGAUGUUAUCUCUUUUUGCAAGGUUGUGGAUGCAAAUGAACAUGCUUGUAAGCUGUUUGAGUGUGCAUACAGUGAUUUGAUUGGCCGGAAGCUCACCUCUCUCCUAAAAGCCAGUCAGAUGCUAGAGGAAGGGCUGAAGGAGGAGACACUGGAUUCUGAUGGGAACCUGGUUGCUAUUUCUGCCAAAGUGGUGAGCACAGUGAGUUUGACAGGAGCUGAGUUUCCUGUGUCUGUGUGGCUUCAGACACCGGAGCAGCGGCAGCAGAUCUUAGAGCUCCUGCUAGAGCGAGUGGAGAGAAUCACAGCACACGUGACGUUCACUCAAAAUGUGAGACUCAUUCCCUUGCAACUAAUUGUGCACUUAAAAACAAACA
rnacentral:lncRNA from 1 species